rnacentral:misc_RNA from 1 species
AAGUCGUAACAAGGUUUCCGUAGGUGAACCUGCGGAAGGAUCAUUAAUAAACCUAGUCGUUCGCGUACAUAGGGGCAACCCUUGCGUGAUGUCAGCAAUACCUAGGUAACCCUUGAAUAAACUACCCUCGUUGCUUUGGCGGGCCGCCUUCUAGGCCAGCGGCUUCGGCUGCUGCGCGCCCGCCGGAGGACCACAACUCUUGUUUUAGUGACGUCUGAGUACUAUAUAAUAGUUAAAA